rnacentral:rRNA from 1 species
AUUGAACGCUGGCGGCAUGCCUUACACAUGCAAGUCGAACGGCAGCAUGAUCUAGCUUGCUAGAUUGAUGGCGAGUGGCGAACGGGUGAGUAAUACAUCGGAACGUGCCCUGUAGUGGGGGAUAACUAGUCGAAAGAUUAGCUAAUACCGCAUACGACCUGAGGGUGAAAGUGGGGGACCGCAAGGCCUCAUGCUAUAGGAGCGGCCGAUGUCUGAUUAGCUAGUUGGUGAGGUAAAGGCUAACCAAGGCGACGAUCAGUAGCUGGUCUGAGAGGACGAUCAGCCACACUGGGACUGAGACACGGCCCAGACUCCUACGGGAGGCAGCAGUGGGGAAUUUUGGACAAUGGGGGCAACCCUGAUCCAGCAAUGCCGCGUGUGUGAAGAAGGCCUUCGGGUUGUAUAGCACUUUUGUCCGGAAAGAAAUCGCACUUACUAAUAUUCGGUGUGGAUGACGGUACCGGAAGAAUAAGGACCGGCUAACUACGUGCCAGCAGCCGCAGUAAAAC